rnacentral:rRNA from 1 species
AGCAGCCGCGGUAAUUCCAGCUCCAAUAGCGUAUAUUAAAGUUGUUGCAGUUAAAAAGCUCGUAGUUGAAUUUCGGGAUUGACGUGAUGGUCAUGCCUUAAGGGGUAUGAACUGUCACAGUUGAUUUCUCACCUUCUGGAGAAACUUGAUGUCCUUUAUUGGGCGUCUUGCGGAUCCAGGACCUUUACCUUGAAAAAUUAGAGUGUUUAAAGCAGGCAUUUUUGCUCGAAUACAUUAGCAUGGAAUAAUAGAAUAGGACGGCAUGGUUCUAUUUUGUUGGUUUCUAGGAUCACCGUAAUGAUUAAUAGGGAUAGUUGGGGGCAUUAGUAUUCAAUUGUCAGAGGUGAAACUCUUGGAUUUAUUGAAGACUAACUACUGCGAAAGCAUUUGCCAAGGAUGUUUUCAUUAAUCAAGAACGAAAGUUAGGGGAUCGAAGACGACCAGAUACCGUCGUAGUCUUAACCAUAAACUAUGCCGACUAGGAAUCAGACGAUGUUAAUUUUUUAAUGUACUCGUUUGG